GAAGAAAGCGGGGGGCGUGCUUAACACAUGCAAGUCGAACGGAAAGGCCCCUUUGGGGGUACUCGAGUGGCGAACGGGUGAGUAACACGUGAGUAACCUGCCCUUGACUUCGGGAUAACUUCAGGAAACUGGGGCUAAUACCGGAUAGGAAUCCUUGCUGCAUGGUGGGGGUUGGAAAGCUUCGGCGGUUUUGGAUGGACUCGCGGCUUAUCAGCUUGUUGGUGGGGUAGUGGCUUACCAAGGCUUUGACGGGUAGCCGGCCUGAGAGGGCGACCGGCCACAUUGGGACUGAGAGACGGCCCAGACUCCUACGGGAGGCAGCAGUGGGGAAUAUUGCACAAUGGGCGGAAGCCUGAUGCAGCAACGCCGCGUGCGGGAUGACGGCCUUCGGGUUGUAAACCGCUUUCAGCAGGGGCGAAGCUUGUGGUGACGGUACCUGCAGAAGAAGCACCGGCUAACUACGUG
rnacentral:rRNA from 1 species